UACAGAGGUCUCAAGCGUUGUUCGGAUUCAUUGGGCGUAAAGGGCGCGUAGGCGGCGGGGUAAGUCUGGUGUGAAAUCUCGGAGCUCAACUCCGAAAUUGCACUGGAUACUGCUCUGCUUGAGGGUUGGAGAGGAGAUCGGAAUUCACGGUGUAGCAGUGAAAUGCGUAGAUAUCGUGAGGAAGACCAGUGGCGAAGGCGGAUCUCUGGAACAAAUCCUGACGCUGAGGCGCGAAGGCUAGGGGGAGCAAACGGG
rnacentral:rRNA from 1 species